rnacentral:lncRNA from 1 species
AGAACUGAAGACAAAAUUUCUCAGAAACGAGUUUCGCAACUCCCUCAUGCGAUAGCAGUGAUUCAGUGAAUCCGUGGAACUCUGAACCACGAGAGGAACGUGUACCGCUGCUCGUUGGCGUUUCACGCGUGCGUAUGUAGCUGUUCGUGGAAUGGACGGUGAUGAUGAGUGGGGUAUAUAAAAUGAACGGUGGACAUUCGAUGGGCCAUGGGAAUGCGGCGGCAA